UACGGGGGGGGCAAGCGUUGUUCGGAAUUACUGGGCGUAAAGGGCGCGUAGGCGGUCAGAUAAGUCAGCUGUGAAAACCUCGGGCUUAACCCGAGGCCUGCAGUUGAAACUGUUUGGCUAGAGUCCGGUAGGGGAGCAUGGAAUUCCUGGUGUAGCGGUGAAAUGCGCAGAUAUCGGGAGGAACACCAGUGGCGAAGGCGACUUCUGGCUGCUAACUGACGCUGAGACGCGAAAGCUAGGGAGCGAACGGG
rnacentral:rRNA from 1 species